CGAAUUCGCCCUUCCUACGGGAGGCAGCAGUGGGGAAUAUUGGACAAUGGGCGCAAGCCUGAUCCAGCCAUGCCGCGUGAGUGAUGAAGGCCCUAGGGUUGUAAAGCUCUUUUGUGCGGGAAGAUAAUGACGGUACCGCAAGAAUAAGCCCCGGCUAACUUCGUGCCAGCAGCCGCGGUAAUACGAAGGGGGCUAGCGUUGCUCGGAAUCACUGGGCGUAAAGGGUGCGUAGGCGGGUCUUUAAGUCAGGGGUGAAAUCCUGGAGCUCAACUCCAGAACUGCCUUUGAUACUGAAGAUCUUGAGUUCGGGAGAGGUGAGUGGAACUGCGAGUGUAGAGGUGAAAUUCGUAGAUAUUCGCAAGAACACCAGUGGCGAA
rnacentral:rRNA from 1 species